rnacentral:rRNA from 1 species
CCUACGGGAGGCAGCAGUGAGGAAUAUUGGUCAAUGGGCUUACGCCUGAACCAGCCAAGUCGCGUGAGGGAAGACUGCCCUAUGGGUUGUAAACCUCUUUUGUCAGGGAGCAAUUGGCGCUACGUGUAGCGUUAUCGAGAGUACCUGAAGAAAAAGCAUCGGCUAACUCCGUGCCAGCAGCCGCGGUAAUACGGAGGAUGCGAGCGUUAUCCGGAUUUAUUGGGUUUAAAGGGUGCGUAGGCGGAAUGCCAAGUCAGCGGUAAAAUCGCGGGGCUCAACCUCGCUCCGCCGUUGAAACUGGCGUGCUUGAGUGGGCGAGAAGUAGGCGGAAUGCGUGGUGUAGCGGUGAAAUGCAUAGAUAUCACGCAGAACUCCGAUUGCGAAGGCAGCAUACCGGCGCCCAACUGACGCUGAAGCACGAAAGCGUGGGUAUCGAACAGGAUUAGAUACCCUUGUAGUC